GAUGAACGCUGGCGGCGUGCCUAAUACAUGCAAGUCGAGCGAACGGACGAGAAGCUUGCUUCUCUGAUGUUAGCGGCGGACGGGUGAGUAACACGUGGAUAACCUACCUAUAAGACUGGGAUAACUUCGGGAAACCGGAGCUAAUACCGGAUAAUAUUUUGAACCUCAUGGUUCAAAAGUGAAAGACGGUCUUGCUGUCACUUAUAGAUGGAUCCGCGCUGCGUUAGCUAGUUGGUAAGGUAACGGCUUACCAAGGCAACGAUGCAUAGCCGACCUGAGAGGGUGAUCGGCCACACUGGAACUGAGACACGGUACAGACUCCUACGGGAGGCAGCAGUAGGGAAUCUUCCGCAAUGGGCGAAAGCCUGACGGAGCAACGCCGCGUGAGUGAUGAAGGUCUUCGGAUCGUAAAACUCUGUUAUUAGGGAAGAACAUAUGUGUAAGUAACUGUGCACAUCUUGACGGUACCUAAUCAGAAAGCCACGGCUAACUACGUG
rnacentral:rRNA from 1 species